rnacentral:tRNA from 1 species
GCCACCGUAGCUCAGCCUGGUUAGAGCGGCGGUUUCGUAAACCGCAGGUCCGGGGUUCGAAUCCCUGCGGUGGCU